rnacentral:rRNA from 1 species
AUACAGAGGGUGCAAGCGUUACUCGGAAUCACUGGGCGUAAAGCGCGCGCAGGCGGUCUUUUAAGUUGGAUGUGAAAGCCUACGGCUCAACCGUAGAACUGCAUCCAAAACUAUUAGACUAGAGUGUGGGAGAGGAAGAUGGAAUUAGUUGUGUAGGGGUAAAAUCCGUAGAGAUAACUAGGAAUACCAAAAGCGAAGGCAAUCUUCUGGAACACUACUGACGCUGAGGCGCGAAAGCGUGGGGAGCAAACAGGAUUAGAAACCCUAGUAGUCC